UGUACCGGGGCUCUCCCUUUGUGCACAUUGAAUAAAGCCUUGUUGAAUUGAAUCGCAUCGCAUCGCAUCGAAGUCCCUUGAUUCUGCCCAGCAUCUGACUAAGUGGGAACCACAAAAUCCCAACAGUUUCUUGGCGCAGCGAGCAGGGUGAGAAAUAUCCUUCAGGAUCACGACCUACAAUCAAAUUAGAGGGAAAGAAAUCUGUGGCAGUCAAUGUGGCAAGAUGGACUCGAUGGGAAGCGAGCUUGCUAAUGCCUUCGGUACAUCUGCAACGAGCGUCAUCACUAGACCCUGCCACCCUCAUGCCUACCCCAGAUGAGGGACACCUGCAUCAUUGUUGCCUUAAGGAAGAGCCCAUGGACCUUCCAUUGGACAUUCAACAAGCUGCACCAAGGGCAGAGAAGUGGUUAUGGAUGGAUAAUGGAGGCGAACUGUGUGAUGAUAACACUUGGAGAGGUCCAGGGAACACAUUAGUGUUACCAAAUGUGUUGAUGGGAACUAUGAUACAAGUGUAUCACAUGUUGGGACAUGAUGGAGCAUGGAGGGUGAUCCACCGGAUGUUGGACACCUGGUGGCAUCCUAAGCUUAAUGUAAAUGUGC